CCUACGGGAGGCAGCAGUGGGGAAUCUUAGACAAUGGGGGAAACCCUGAUCUAGCCAUGCCGCGUGAUCGAUGAAGGCCUUAGGGUUGUAAAGAUCUUUCAGAUGGGAAGAUAAUGACGGUACCAUCAGAAGAAGCCCCGGCUAACUCCGUGCCAGCAGCCGCGGUAAUACGGAGGGGGCUAGCGUUAUUCGGAAUUACUGGGCGUAAAGCGCACGUAGGCGGACUUGAAAGUUGGGGGUGAAAGCCCAGGGCUCAACCCUGGAACUGCCCUCAAAACUCCAGGUCUUGAGGUCGAGAGAGGUGAGUGGAAUUCCGAGUGUAGAGGUGAAAUUCGUAGAUAUUCGGAGGAACACCAGUGGCGAAGGCGGCUCACUGGCUACGAUACUGACGCUGAGGUGCGAAAGCGUGGGAGCAAACAGGAUUAGAUACCCUGGUAGUCCACGCCGUAAACGAUGAAUGCCAGUCGUCGGGUAGC
rnacentral:rRNA from 1 species